GUGACCAUAGUCAAGCGGGAGACC
rnacentral:rRNA from 1 species